GCGCCGUUGGUGUAGGGGUAACACACAACCUAAUCUUUCGGUGUCUGGUGAGGAUUUGGGUUGGGUGCUGGGUUCGACUCCCGGACGGUGCG